AUAACUUUAUCAUCCUUUUGGCUACGAUCAAGUGAAGUUUCUAUUAUUAUCAAUCUAAUAUUUGAUAUGUGGGCCAUUAGUCCACUGUGAUAUUAAAUUAAUUUUGAUAGGCAAGAACUGCUACAAUAUCUUGUUGCUAGAGUUCUUCAGCAUCGACCUCAUGUUGCACUAUUGCAUGGGCUUGGCGCACCCUUG